CAGCAGUGAGAAAGAGCGAGACAGAAAGUGCAAACUCUGUCUGUGUGUGUGUGUGCAUGUGUGUGGGGUUAAUUGUGGUUCAACUGUGAGGAACAGCUGUGAGAGAUCAUAUAUGGCACAGAGGAACAAGCAUGGUGACAGGCAACUUGACAACACAACCUGUUUUAUGGUGACAAGUGUGUGUGUGUGUGUGUGGACGUGUGUAGUUGAGAGAGAGUGACCCAGGGUAACAGAAAGUGUGAGAAAGAAAGAGUGAAGAGUGUGCUAAAGAAAGGCAGGUGAGCAGUGAAGUGCCUGUCUGCCCACCCAACAUGUUCACACGCCUCCUUUAAGAAUAGCAAAGAGUCUUGUACCAACAGGAAGGGAUCUGAGAAAGAUCACAGACUGUUUCCUGUUACCCGCGAGGCUUAGCACGGACGACAGCAGUCAAGGAAGUUUCUGCCCUGGAAGCUAACGUGAAGACGGACACCAGCAGCAGGAGCAGAAGCCAUCUUUAAAUCCCCUUUGGUGGUGUGACCCCUGACCCAGCCUCAGAGAAGGUCAGACAAAACUUAUCUCUCAAUGAAUAAACUGGUGCCUCUUUUAAAGUCACCAUGUUAAUGAUUGCCUGCAGCUCAUGCCUUGGCAUUCUCAAACAAAGUAGUACAUGUGUUGAUUUUUAAUAAUUCAGCCUUGUUAGAGUGGAGGUCUUAUUUUGUAGUUCUUUUUGUUAUUAUAAUACUGUACUCCGAAGUGAUUUGUGAGUUAUGACAGCAUGGUGAUAUCCCUACAACAAAGUCUGUCAGACAGCGGAAGAAACAAGUGUUCAGAUCAUUAGACAGGUUGUAAGUGAGCCAAACACUUUACAGAGUUAUUUGAAGAUUAAACCAAAAGUGAGGACACAAGUGUCAGUUAUAAACCCUGUUACCUAUCAAAAUAAUGGCAACACAACAAAGUUACCACCAAAGUUGUGAAAAAAAUUCCACAAAACAGACAACCAAGACUAAAUGAAAAGAGAAUAUAUAGGUAAAUUUUAUUCUGAAUUCAAAAUCUAUGUAUCUGAGUAUAAUAAUAAGCUAAGUAUACUUAGCUUAUUUGAAAGAUUUAGCAAAUGUCCAGAAAACAUUUUAAUAUGAAUAUACAACCACUUCUUUUCAUGUGAUCGAUGUUCCACACUUCAAAGCUCAUGAAAAGCUAGUAAUUUGACCUUUGAGUUGAUAUAUAAGAUCAUACUUGUUGUACUUAAAGUUCAGUAAAUUGUAGUUAGCAAAAUACUGACAAUGUGCUGAAUUCCUACACAAUCCUACCUCUAACCCAACACACAUAUACUUGCUGUCAGAAGGGUCAGAUGUGAUGUAGAAGUGUCUUACAAAGAAGACACAAACAGAGUCAGACCUGGGGAUCAACACUGCAACUCUGCAGUCAACCAACCAACAAGCCACCCUGCUGCCUCAUCAAUUAUGCAGAAUCCAACGUCUUCAUGUAAACCAAGAGAGGAAAGCAGAGGAGAUGAGCGAAUGUUUUCCACACGGUAAUGAAAGUCAAAUUCACCCGGGUGCCUGGAAGCACUACACAGGCUGCAGCCAUUAAAAGUCAAUCGGGGUGUCUGCUGCGUAAACAAAUAUCUAUGAUUAUUCCAACCUGCCAUCCUCCGACAGCAUUAAAACAUCCUUCAAUUAGGCAGCGCUGCAACAUACUCAGAACCAAACAAAACUCUCUCUCCACCUCUCUGUCACGUAUCAUUACUCCCACCAUGCCGCUUCUGCUCCCUCGCUCUCUGCACACCUUUCACUCAUCACGAUGUGUCAACUGUUUGCAGGAGAGGCAGCAAAGAUGGCAAGCUCUUUGACCCAGACCGAGAUGGCAAUGGUGCACAAGACACACAGCCUUCAUUGUUUGUUGGCUGGAUCAAUCAGAAAACACCUUAGGGCCUUUUUUUGAACUUUGGCCACACAGCUGGAUGAGUAGGGUCUGACACAGAGGGUCAAAAGACAAGACUGUGAGGAUAAUAGAUGGGACAUUUUUUGAGCAAACCUAACUCUCUCUCUCUUAUUUCUUGUCUAUCUCUGUCUUUCUCUGGUUUUAUAUGUCACAUUUUAGCUGUGUAGCUGGUAUGACAAACUGGUAUGUAUUUCCUUCACCAUAACCAAACUUUAAGAUAAAGUUACACCGUUUAAGAGCUAAAAGUGUCACCAAACUCUUAAAAGAUCAGUGUGUAAGUAGAUUGCAACUAACUGAACACUGCAGUGUGUAGAAGAAACCACGGUGGCCCCCAAAACUCAUGAAAAAGGCCCUAUCUACAGCCAGUGUUUGGUUUUUAAAUUCUACUACUGUAGAAACAGGGCAAUUCAACAUGGUGGACUCUAUGGAAGCGACCUGUUGCGUCUGUAGAUGAAAACGGCUCAUUCUAAGAUAACAGAAACACAAUGAUUCAUAUAUUUGAUGAUUAUACACUAAUAAAAACAUACCUAUGAAUAUUAUAUCACCUUUCUGCCAAUAGAUCCUCCCAAAUGUUACACACUGGACCUUUAAGAAAUGUGGCUAUGAUUCGGACUUUAGGGAGUUCAGCAGGUGGAAACUAUUGCCCUUAACUUUUUUUCCAAAGAAUGUAUUUGAUAUGUUGUAUUAGCAAACAUGAAAAGUAUAAAAUAAUUCUUGAUGUUUUUAUUAAUUUAUCAUCUCAGUGCGUAAAAAGAUUUUUCCAUCUUAUUAGCAGAGAAAUCAUGUGGAUAGUCACAAAGUAAAUUUGCUUGGUCCUUGUUAUUGUAUCUAUCCGUAAAGUGUGAUAAAUUCAUGUAUAGUUAGUUUUUCACCCAGUUUUAAAAUGUAAUGGGGGUAAUAGGAACUGUUAAUGCCAAGUGUAAAUGCAGGCAGAAAACAUUCUGACUGGAAUGGGUUUAAAUCAGCCAGACAUCUUGAUUGGAUUGGGUACCAUUAUCCAGAUAUAUCCAGGUACAGAACACAUGUAUAAAUGGGGCCUCUGAUCGGAUUAUGACCACACCAAUGCUGCACUUAAUCACUUUGAGUAACUAUUACAUUUGGCCAUGUUACCUGACAAUGUGUGACACUAUGCUUGGACAGAAAGUUCCAUAUUGCAGCUUUAAGCUUUUAAGAUACACAAACAUGAAAGGCUCCAAGCAUUUCAAUUUGUCUUUGUGACUCUAUCGCCACUCUAAGCAUAUCAGGUCUGAAAUUUAGUGUCACAAUUGAGGCUUUUCUCCCUCUGAUAUCAAUGCACUAAUUUAAUCUUAAACUAAUUAGAUUAUGUUGAUUUAUAUACUUUGAGGAACAUGUGACAAGCCCACAGGGAUACAAGCCUCGCCUUAACUCAGGCCUAUGUUUCUGUCAGUGCCAAAGACAAGGCUAACACUAACCUAAUUGAUUAUCAUAUGAAACUGUUCAGCCCAUGUGGUUGGAUUUAACACGAGUUCAAAUUCAAUAUAUUUGGUAUUUUCUCAAGAAAUAAGUCUGUUCAAAGUAAAAUCACAUCUUUAAGUGCCACCACUUCAAUGAGCAGCAAUCCCAAGCUGGAGAGGCUUGCAGCCUUAUGUAGGCCAAUUUCAGCCGAAGAGGAGCCAUUGUGUGACUCACAGGCUGCUUCAGUCUUGUCACUUAAAGAAGAAAAAAGCAGGAGUUCCUGCCACCGGAGGUUUAACGUGAAGCAUGCUUAUUUCAAAAUAAGCUAAUUUGCUAGAAGCACCACAUCAUGUAAAAACGUUGCGCUCAUAAUUAUAAGCAAAAACAGCUGUUGUUAUAACAGAAUAUAUAUAAUUCUUUAGCAUCUUUUCGAUGAAACUUUGAAUGCACAAUUCUCCUCUAGAUACUGAAGGGGUGAAAAACACUGCUGCUGGGGCGCCUCUGUUGUCUUGAUUACAUAAACAGUCAGUCUGGGUAUUUUAGCACUUGCAGUGUGCAUUUUAGCACAAGGAGGAGAGAACAAGCAAUAUAUUGUGUUGUUUCCAGUGUGGACCAGAAUGACCAGGUUUUAUUGGCUUUGGAUGAUCAGAUUUGAAUAUACCCAAUUACCCCAACAUCAAAACAAAUACUCAGAUGACUGAAAGUUCUGGAAAUGCUGGGGUCAUCUGGAUUGAUAUGGAUGUCAUCGGACCAUCCACAAAACUGAAAAAGAAUCUUGAACUGCAUGACCUGCUGCAACUUCUGUAUUUAUUAUUUUAUAUUGCAUUUAUUAACUUUAUUAUUUCAUUGAUUCAGUUAUUGCAUUACUGACUCCAUUUAUGAAAAGGUGUUUUUCAAAGAGAUCCAGCAGCAGCAACAGCCGCAUCCUCUGUCAACAUAAAUAUAGGCACAUUAAGAGCAGUAAUGCAUUGGACUUCAUCCAAAACAUUAAGCCAAAGAACAGUAAAUCAUAUAGUCUAACUUAAUAAUAAGUCAGCUGAAAAGGAGGAAGAAGUAUCUGAGGACAUCCGAUAAAAGCCACAUGCUUCUCAUCUAAGUAUUUUGACAGCAGAGAAAUAAUUAUAAAAUGAAGUCAGUGUAUAUAUUUUGUUGGUUAUUCAGAAACACACACAGCUGCUAAGAGAAAUAGCUGGUAUAAACCCAUCCUCCUCUAGAGAUACACGUCAUAAUGGUUAUGCAUCAGACCACACACAACCUUCUUUCACACUUGAGGCAGAAUCCAAUUGUAGACUGAGUGUGUUAGUUCAAAUCCAAACUCGUAUUAAGUCUCAUGUCAUCAGAAUUAUCAUGUUUCAAGAGCCAAAGUACCACAGCCGAACUCUUGAGUGUGUUUUUUUUGCCAAGUGUGUGUGUACAUGUGUGUGUGUGUGUGUGGGACUGAUGCGACUCAGCUGUGCACAAAUAGAUGCACUUCCAGCCGAGACUCUUGACAGUCAUUGUAUCUGCUAAAAACAGCUGAGCCUUUGUUGGUAGAUUAACACCACUGCCUAAAUGCCUUAUUUAAACAGUCCUUUGGAUAACGAAUCACCAAGGUGCAUAGGAGCUAUACAUUAAUUUGCAACUUGGGCCCCGUGCCAGAGUGGUUUGACAGAGUAGCUAAACAUUUCACAGUGGAUGAGAGUGCUAAAUGCAUUGUGACAGCCAGCAGUGUGUUUUGUUUCUUACAGUGCAUACAGAGGAAAACAGAGACACACACAUAUUGUAUACAGUGACACAUGUGCAUAGACACCUGUGGUACGCACACCCACACACACACACCUGUGCAGUCCCACACUCAUCUUCUGCUCUCUUUCUCUUUGUCUGUGGAGAAAUUACAGAGAAGACAAUGAAAAAUGUGAGGUGUUCAGAGUAAUAUUAGAUUAAGCUAAUCGAAUUUGAGGAAAAAUUGUUGCAGAACAUCAUGGGAAAACAUAUCUAUUAUGGAGACAUAUUAGCAGUUCAGUUUGUCUGCGCUUUUGCUCAUUGCUUUUCUUUCUUUCUUUCUGUCUUUCUGUCUUUCUUUGCCUCUCUGUAUUCUCAAACAACCCCACUUUAAAGUUGACACACUGCGCAUUUAAUAUCCAAAACCUGAUGUAUGGUCAAAUUAUUCCAAAGGUCACAGACUGGGCAAGGUUCCAAAUUUUACAUAUCUCUGCAUUCUUUGUGCAAAAUAGAUUUUUUUUUAUAACUCAAUAAACUUGUUUAGAGGUAACAGGCCUUUAUGGUAAUUGAAUAACUAAACAGGAUGCUUCAGUGCUACUACAACAAUCUCCACCCAGCCGAGGGCAAGAGGCUCAUUUUGAUUGGCAGCAAGGGUACUCCCUAUCUAUUAGUGCAUUCAAGACAAGCGGGAAAUGGAAAGUUUCUGACCUACAAGCAAUAAGUAUCAACACAGAGGGGACUGUGUUGUGAAGAGUAGCAGUACAGGAAGCUGAAAAUUGUGCUGAGCUGCACUUCUGGCUCCCAUGACCUUGACCUCUUCUCAGGUCAGUUACUUCUCACGUCUCAGCUACAAUGAAUAAACCUUUAACUAUGUGGGAUGAGAGCACAUGUAGGUAUUUUUCCAGGUACAAGUUUAUGAUCACAUCUGCUUCCUGUGUUAUAGUAUAUGGUCAGACCAUGAUUUGUGCUAGUUUCAAUUAAGUAAAAUCUUAAUGCUAUAGCCUACAAUCAUAUUUUAUACAGGUGUGAAGCUGCACAAAGAAAUGGUUUUCCUAGUAUGGUGUAGAAGAACUCAACAGGCCUGCGCAGAGCCCUGACCUCAACCACACCCAAUACCUUUGAAAUGAACUGUGAGCCAGGACUUAACUCUCGACAUCAGUGUUCCACCUCACCAAUGCUCUUGUGGUUGAAUGGGAGCAAAUCCCUGCCGCCAGGAAAGCCAGGAAAGCAUUCCCAGAAGAAGAUGAGAUCAACAAUCACAUAUGGAUAUAAUGCUUUGGUGGCCUUAUAAAACUGGUUAAAACAGCAUUGAAGGUUUAGCUCAUGGCAGCAGUAAGAUCACCUCCUUCCUCUGUCUCUCUCUGCUAAACAUUAUCUUAUCUUAUUAAAAAGAAAUAAUUACUAAUUGCUAAUUAUAUUGUUGUUUUUUGCUUUUACUUUCUUUUCUGUUUAUUUCCAGUGACUUUGAACUAUUUAUAUUCACAUUUGGCUCUGAAUGCCUCUUUAAACACAUGACUAAGAAAAACAAAAAUGUUCUUUUAACUACCUUAAGGCAAACUGGUAAUUCUUUGAUUUAUCAUCUCUCUAUUGCAAACAGGCCUCAUUCAUUCACAGUUUGCCUGUGUGCAGUUUACAAAGAUAAACAACUUCAGUGUCAGAAGACUGUUUCAGAAAAAUUCCCAAACAGACAAGGCCUGCAUUUCAAAAAGGCUUGAUUAACACAUAAGUGGGCUCAACAUUUGCAAUAACACUGCUAAUCUAUGCAAACUUUCUUUAGCCUUUUUGCAACAUUGAAUGCCUGACCGGCCGUGCAAAGGCGUAUGGUAAAAUAUACUCUGUAAAAAUCUGACAAAGGCUGACUUCUCUUCCGGCCAACAAAGGAUUCCAAGUUUCGCCAUCCUGCCCAGCUGCCUAGAAUAGACAACACAGCCUCUUUUGUCAGGGUGAGUCAAUCUGUGUGGGUGUGAAUGCAUUAGCCCUUCACAACAGAAUUAUGCCCCUCGACUCCCCCGCUUUGCUUUCAAAUAUUCUGUGAUAGGUUCCCGCGGUCAUGUUUAGAUCACUUCCGGGCGAUGAUUUGCCAUAAGAGAAGAUGAAUGGUGACCAUUGAGAUGCUGAAUAAUUAUACUUGGACCUGCGAGUUGGGGAACACAUAACCCUCAGAGGGCAACAUGACAAACAUGUUUUUCGGGGGCCUGGUGACAAAGAGCAUGUUUUGAUGUGACUGGGCAUGUUCCCUGAAUUGAGUCAUGCGACAGGGUUAUCGCUGUGGUGCGUGGGCCUUCAGUUGCUCUGUUUGUCCAUUUCUGCACUUUGCUUUUCACAGUCUGACUAAUAGAUUUAUGCGUCUGUGUGUGUGUGCGUGAGCGUGUAUAUGUAUGUGUGGGAGUUGAUACUGGCAUGCAUAUGCUCAUGUGUGGCAGUAUAGUGUAUGCAUCUGUGUGUGUGUGUCACUGCAGCCUGGGGAAAGGAAUGGACCACAGCAGCAGACGACCACUCACACAGAGGCAGACCUCUCUGAAGUCAUCGUUUCCAACAGCAAGCAGACCACUGGUCAUUAUCACGCACAUGCAGCAUCUGUGCAAAUGUGAGUUCUCAUGAAGGCCCAUUGAGUACUAAACACAAUUAAUUCGUUCAGAACAGCCAGCAGGACUUAAUGAUCUGUUCUUUUGUCCAACACAACCCAGAAUCCCUUGGAUAUAUUAAAUGAAUCUGCAGUGCACAAUUCAUGUUGAUUUACACAGUUUAAAGGGACAUUCUGGUAUUUGUCAACCUGAGUAUCAUUAUCAUGUUUUAAUCGAACAAAUUACACACGCUGUAGAGAUAAGAGAACUGCUGACUCCUGCAAAGAUUACUUUUGAUUGGGGCAAGCAGUGCAAGCCUACAGCUUUCCAAAAAGCUUCAGUGCAACAGAAAUAACCUCAAACCCUUGUCUCCCCUUGACAUCAAUGGAGCUGCAGCCCUGUAGCAAUCUGCAUACCAAAGCAAGAGGCUUGUGCUUGUGCUGGAAAAUCUAUACAAUGGACGUGGUAAUUAAAAUGUUAUCAUGACCAAUGGACAUACAUACAAAAAUAUGAGAACACCCAGGUUGACAAAAAAAAAAUAUUUAUCCAUUAUUGACAGCAGGAUUUAGGCAGCAAAAGGAACAUAAAGGUGUAUGGAUUCUAAGUUAAGUCUAUUACUAUCUAUUAUUAUUAUUAUUAGUCAUAACUUUAAACUGUUAUGUUUAUAUAUACAAAAAUAACAAUAUUCAUUGCUCCUCCUCUGUUAAUAUAUUCUCUUUUCAUAAAGUACAUGGAUAAAAUUCAUAGGAUCAGCAGCCCUUGAAUAUAUUUCCAAAUCAACCCCUCCCCAGCACGCACGUACACACACACAGUCCCUGGCCUGCUGCAUUCAUACACACACGCAGACACACACCUUACACACAUACGUCGCACAUGCACAGCUUGGCCCAUUAGUGGUGACAUGUGACGUUUCGAUGGGGCAAAUGAAGCUCAACAAUUGAUGUCAGAGCCUUACAAAUUAAACAAAUGGGGGACCGCCAUGGUGUAUUAGGCACCCCAAACCCCCUGAUGAAUACAGCCAAGGCACAUGCCAGCAGGACAACAUUGUCUCGCUCUCCUCUCCUCCCCUAAACAAGGCUCAGAGAAUGAGGGAGGCACACACACUAAUACACACACACUACAGUCAGUCAAUGAGCAAAAUUAAACUAACCAUGCAUUGAUUGCCAAUUGAGUCCUUUGACAAGCAAAUAAACAGCACUGAUUCUGGGGAUCAAUAUGAUUGAUAUGUCAUUUGGUCUUUCAUGUAGCAUCUCGCUGCAGUGCAUGUAUACAGAUUGUGAAAGCACAGUAGGUCAAAGAAUGGAUGUCAAUGAGUGAGUAUUGCUCACAGGUGAAGUGCUCACCAGCUGUGUGUGUUAUAUUGGCAUUUUACUGUUGUGCUCUUGUGUUUUAAACUAAUCGGCAGGAGUUGGGUUUUGGGUGUAGCCAAUUUGACACAUUUUUGGCCAAUGGAUAAAAAACACAGAAAAGCUAUAUUGGAUCAAAUAUUUGGAGUAGUGCUAAUGAGUUUGCAGAGCAGGCUUACAAAGGUGGAAGAAAAUGAAGAUUUAUAUAAAUGCUAAAAUAUGCUUUCUAUGUAGUAAUAUAUGAUUUGUAAUAACAAUGUUAUGUAUAAUGCUAUAUCAAACUCCACCUAGAUCAUGCAUCAAUGCACCUUAUUGUGAGAUUAUUUUGUCAACAGCUUUAUAUAUUGCUAUCGCUGCGUCAGUCAAGAUUUAGCAAAUUGCAUUGAAUUUUUAAAAGAUGCUUGGUAAGUAAAGGUUUUCAACUACUUCUUUAUUUCACCUAUGUUGUUGUCUAUAACAUUGUAUAUACACUUGGUCAAUAGUCAGUGGUCACACAAAAUACAUAUAUACAGCAUUGCAUGUACAGAAAUACAAAGUUGAACUUUCUGUUUGUUUCUUACAUGAUUGUGAGAGUGUGUUUGUGUGUGUCUGAGCAUUUGUUAAUCCAUAUGCAAACACAUCGUCCUAUCGACAGACCUUCUGAGGGGUGAAACGUCCUGGGAACAGAGGAGAGGAGCGGGGAUGAGUCACGAUUGGGAUCUCUACGAUUCACAGCACCUGCACACACUACAUGCCAGACGCAAUCACAUCAAAUCAAACUCAAUGCACGCAGACUCACACACACGCAUAAACAAAAUAGAAAGUGUAAGCGGUAUUAAGGGUGCACAGAGAACACAAUAAGACCCUCCAGACACCCCACAAACAGAUAUAAGGCUCACAAUACACACCUGUAAGGAAUACAAAGUGGUUACUGGAAAACAUAGGCACAAAAUACAUGAAAAUCCUUGCUCCCACACACAAUCACACAUGUACACAGGUGUGGCAGGUCCAUUUUGUUUUCACUAACCCCCUCAGCCCUUUGCACAUCCCCAGCAAAUAGGACUGAUGUUACAGGGCAGAUAUAGGUGUACAAUUUCUUGUUUGGCUUUGUGAAAACAUGGCGUAAUGGCAGUGAGAAAUUGUGUUGGGAAUAAAUGCAUCACCUCUGUUUGGGAGGGAUGCCUCAUCAUAAGCCAUCAGCCUGUAUACGUGUUUGUGUGUGCCUGUGUGUGUGUGUGUGUGUGUGUGUGGAGAGAGGAGGAGAGGAGAGAGAUGGAAUAUCUAAAAGGGGUUAAGUGCCAGGGUUACCCAUCCAAGGAGCAUUAAAUGAAGGCUCUCACUUUGAUGGACACCGGCACCGAGAUCCCUGAUGUCCCAAAAUAUUAGGUUUCUCUUCUAAUAAUGUUGGAAAUAUUGCCUACUGUCAUGAUUAAUCUGGCUGGGUGCUGGGCCUGAUUGCAGGUGACGCGGUCACAGCACAGUGCCUGUGUUAGUUUCCACACACCGUCAGCUUCGCUCCACACAGAGCCGCAGCCAGGAGCAGGGCUGAUAGCAGCCAUUGCAGCUGCCUCUAAUGCAAUGUGACAGCAGAGAAGGAAACCUUUAUUUUAAUUCAAACAACAAAAGCCAAACAGCCAAACUUAUCUGCGUGCCCAACAUUUUCCCUCCAACACAAUGAGUUUGUUUCUUCUUUUUUCCUCCAAAGUCCUUACGCUCUUUUCAUUUUCUCCUCUCCUAUUUUCACUGGGUGAGGUAAAUCUUGUGUAAGCCAGUUGUUGCUGGAUCAGUAUCUGGCAGGGGAAGAGAGAAAGACAGAAAAAGAGGGGAUGCAGAGAAGUGGAGGUAUUUGCAGAUGUGGAGGAAGGCACAAAAACAUUUGUCAAAUCAAAGGCUUGAAUUAUUGCACACUAUUGGGUCAGUUUCACAUGCCACUUAGAGGUCCCAUUGUCCUGAUGUUGAACAAGACCCCCUUUAUGUGACAGGCUUGAAAAACAACGUUAGCCCUCCUCAUAAUCAAAUCUGUAGAUCCCAACAGGCCAACAGGCCCUGCCACUUGGAAUUCUUUGCAUUGGCCAUGGUCAGGACGUGCCGUUUGGCCCCAACAAUGGCAACAUUGAUUUUAGCGCCAUGAGAAUUUUGGUUGAGCUGUAAAAACUGGGACCGGGGGGAAACACCGAUCUUUGCCUUUCCCAGGAGGGUGUGUGUGGAGCUGCGGGGGGAAGGUGAGUCACUCGUAGGCUCCAGGGCUCUGACCCACUGGACCUCUGGCCUAAUUCAAUCAGCCAAAGCACCAUUAGCCUACCAUUAUCAGACAUUAUCUCCCAGGCUAAGCAGGACAGUUAUCCCGUGCCAGCAUUGGGAAAAAAUUGCAACACACACACUUCCUGUCCUCACUUUGCUUCCUUUUGCAAGCCUAUGCACCACAAUUGGAGGAUGAUUGGCUCACCACAAUCGGGCCUUGUUUACACGCAUCAUUUUGAGAGAGUACCAGCCGGUGUUUUGGGGAACUGAUGUUACAUUGAUGUCUUGUUGCUAUGGGGCUGGGGCUAAGGCCAUGGCAUAAAGGCAUGACCUUCCUGUUUAGCUGCAUAGUAACUUACUGAGUUGAUACAAAUUACCCCGCUUUUCGAUCUACCAAUUUAGCCGCUACUUACUGGGCAAGGGUCAAACCGAGCCCUUUCAUGUGGGGCAUCUUUUGAAGUGGCUGUAGACUACUGUGAGACUUUAGCACCAAGCGUCUUGAUGCAGGGGGAGGGAAUGUGAAGGGAGGAGAGUUCUAAACAAUGGGCCCCCCUUAGAAAAGCCUCUAAAUCUUGGUGACUAACUUCAAAAGAGCCCCUGGUGUCAAAGCCAGUGUUGUGGCUGGAGCUGGACACGCUGUUUCCCUGGAUAUAAAUGUUUUAUUAGAGGGCACACCUCCUCAGGCUCACCCUGUCACUGUCAGAGGUAGGAGGAACAAGGGGACACUGUGUGCCCCUGAGAGCGACAUCAAACAUAAUGGGCUUUGCAUGCAUGCACACAGCCAACAAAAAGUUAUUCAUCAAAUUGUAUAAUAUGUUGACUUUUUUGUUGUUUUUUGUUUUUUUUACAGCUUUGCUCCUGGACUGACAUUCUACCCUACAAAAAGGAACUUUUUUUUUACCAAAUAAGCAACAACUUAGAAUUAUUUUGUUAAUAAAAAAACAUCUCUAAGGAGAAAAAUGCCUAAAAAUGAUAAUUUUCCACAUGCUCAUCCUGAUGAUUGUGUACGUUAUAUCAGCAUCACGUUGUCAGACAAAUAUCACAAUUUGCUAAAAGUAUACAUAAUUCAUCACCAAUCAGUCUUGCCUCCCCGUGCCGACUCCUGUGUUAUCCUGGAGAAGAUAGAUGUGGGAGCGAAGCCCUUUGAGAUCCAGAUGGUACGUUCCCAACAAUAAGGUUUGGGCUUCCAUUGGAAAAUGAUCCUUUUCCUGUGUGCGACACUAAUGUAUCACCGUCAGCCAGUAAUGAGACGACACCCCCAAAUGAAAAUCUCAAAAAUACAUUUUCCUUCUGCCUCCAGUAUUUAUUUAUCUUGGUUCAAAUUAAAAGCAAAUGUUUCGCCUUUGCUGACCUCUGAAUCAUGCAACGGACCACAUUAAUGCAUUUUGUAAGAAUAUGACUUGAAAUGUGAUGAAGAAAUUACAUUAAAGAAGCCCACUCAUUAUUCUUGGUUAUAUCACAAACUUUAGAAAUUAAGAAUUUGUUUCUAGGGCAACCCUCAGCACAUGGCAUUUUUGAAUACCAUGUGCCAUUUACCAAAACAUUCAUUUUCUCUGCACAAAUAUAAUUAGGAGGGAGAAGAAUGUGGGGCUUUUGAUUAUGAUUUUUAUUAGCUUUAAUCCCAUUAAAAUCUAUGUUGUAGACUGUUGUAUGUCUGUUUGAUGCAUUUUUGGUUAGCUGACCUUACUGUUCUUUUCACCCAAGCUUUGAUAACAUUAAUCAGAACCUCACUUGGCCUCUUUUCUGCAUCUUUACUCUGAUCAAAUUAUAUCACAUGAUGAUACAAUCAUUCCAGAAAUCUCACUACAUACUGAAUCUACUGCCAGUGAAUUAUGGCAACUCUGCUACACAGCAGAACUAUUUGGAAAUUUCAAAUUUUGCUCUCUUUUCAGAGGGCCUUCUGUGACCCCUAUUAUGCAUUCUAGACUUAGCGUCAAAGAGCGAGGAAGAGAUUUAAUUUGUUGACGAUUGCCACCGAUCUCCUUUAAACGGCUUUUAAUUGAUAACGGCAAGGGAGAGCGGUGAACUUUAAAUAGACAUUCUAAUUAUCGGCUUUAAGAAGCAGGGGCUUUUUGGGAAAUGUUAUGGCAUUUGGAAUGGGAUUAAUGGGCGAGUGAGGCGCUGGCCACCCCGCAGCUAAAUGACAUUAAAGAGGGAGAUGAGUGGUGCUGCUGAAGGGAGCAAACCCACUAGUCACAGGAGCCAGGGCGCCCACUGCCUUGGGCACAC